AAUCUUUUACUCAAAUAAACGACUUCGUUUGUUUGAAAUUAAACGUUUUAUCCACUAAAGUCAUUUCUUAUCCUAUGGAUAUUUUACUUAUUUUGAGUAAUACUUAAAGUGAUCAUAAUAGAAAAGUACAAAAAAAUUUUCCCAAAGACAAUAUUUCUCAAAAAAGUCUAUACCACUAUCACAUAAUAACCGUUCCGAUAAUUGUCCUACGCUGAGUUACACUUCCGGGAACAAUUAUUUUUUCAUAAUGGUCAUAUGCUAUACUUCCUGACAGCUAAAGCCUCUACUAGUUUCAAGGCCUUCUUUCACGGAACUAAUUGCUUUUACGAAAUGGUUGACAGUGCACAUUAAAUUUAGACCAUUUUCUAGAACGAAUGCCUCAAAAGAAGAGCCACGUCCCGAAAAUCUAUGUAUAGUUACUUAACUCACAAUGUGCUAUAGAAUAUCUUCUAAUUCUUUAUACAUACAUGUAUAUAUUAUAUAUAUAUAUAUGUCGAGUUAUCAUUAGAUUUAGGAGCGUGUAACGAAUCUUCAUUUGGACUAGCCAUCGUUGUUGUACAAUAGAGAUUAUAUUUACUGGUAUAAAUAUGGUUUUUACAGAAUUUGACAAAUAACGUACCGUGAUGAUUAGACACUCGAGAUGUUAUUGACAACGAUCUUAGGUUCAAUAACGAAUCUACGGUCAACGGGAUAACUCUUUGUUAAACGUAGAAUAUAUUUUGAGGCACAAAAUAACGUUCGCUGGAACGCUCGGUAUAUACUGCCCGUAAAGACAAUGUGAAACUCUCCAAGGAGAUCACACGAAUAAAAGACUGAUGAAAACUUUCCUCUCCUUACGAUCGCGUUCGUUUGUUGUAUAUUGGUCGGGGAUACCAACAAAAUUCCAACCGCCGUUGCUAGGCAGUCCCGCGUAACGGCGACAUUGUUUCUGCCCGGAGUUUGAUUGUUAAUACAACGUGUGUCCCAUAAUAUUGACACUUCUGAGACAAAACCACACAUGGCUUGAUUUGUCCUCGAGCCUGUGUGCCGCUACAACUAUAUUUUUUUAAGGAGAACUAUACAACUUACUCCGUACCUCUGUUAGGUAAAAACGUACAUGCCGUGACCGUGGCUACGUUCAGCAACCAGUUGUGUCACCUCGAGCCCAAGCCCAUUGUCACAAACAUAAUCGGAUUGAAUCAUAAACAAUUACUUCUAAGUUUUAUUGUUUAAACACAGCUAUAAUAAAUAUUCUAGACUAAAGUAUUGGGAAUCUUCCCGAAAAUUCCAAAAGAAAGGCCCCGCUGUCCUUUUCUCUCCGACAUAUAUAUAUAAUAAUUAGAACUAAUUCAUAUCUAUAGAUAACACUCUUCGCCUCGAGUCAUAUUUACUAUAUAUACAAUCAAUUAUCAAUAAAUCUUAAUAUUUAAUAGAUCGCUUUUUAAGACAGCUAUUCAUACUAUGUACAUACUAAUUAUUUAGUACUGUAACUAUUUAGUAAAAUAAAAUGUAUAUUUACAAUAAAUGUCUUGUAAUUUUUCUAUCUAUUUCCAGAUAGAUUUUAAAUUUUACUACCAAUAUUAUGAUAGUUGUACCUUAUUACAAUACUAUUAAAAUUUCAAAACCUUUUGUAUAACACAUAUUCAUAAAAAUUGUCUACGAUAAAUGUUGAAAUAGUUCCACGAGUCGCGAUACAUCCUCUAAUUGUAAGUCUAACAGUUUCCUCGAGUUCCAUGAACCUCUAAAGGCCAUAUUUAUAAUUCGCUUGCAUUUUAACGCAGAUACUUUAGAGCGCGUGUCAUUUUUAAAAAUGAACCCGUGUGUACGACCGCGUAGUAACACAUCAAAUAUAGGAAUUUCCGGUCCAUGCAUGACCGCGUUCGCAAUCGAUGUUAGAACGAAUCUGAACGAGGUAAACCACCCUAUCGCUGGCACUUGACCAACCAUUGGCUCAUAUGUUUAUUAACGCACGAUAGAAGAAUAUAACGCGCAUCUAAACGAUUUCAUAACGCAAUUGCAGCGAGGAGAGCGUCGUGCUUUGCAUGCCAAUCCGUCCUCGAGAUUUAACGCUGACAUCUUGUUGAGUUUAUUCGUUAGAUAUGGUCAGUUCAUUAUGUGGCGUACAGGAAGAUUCACGCGAUCAAUAGCGAGCUUGUCUUCCGAGAAAAGUGAUACGUAACGUAAAAUAUGGCGGAAAUUAUUAUUAAAAUAUAAAUUUGAAAAUUUUCGAAUGAUUACUCAGAGGAAACAUUUACCCAACAAAUGUGUUGAUAAACGAUUCUCAAGAAGCAUAAUUAUCACCUAUCCGCAAUUUUUAAAACGUAACAACGAUACACAUUUUUGUCUUGUUUGAUAAUUUGCAGACAAACAUAUAAAUUGUUGUACGUUUUCCCUUCUAUCAUUUGGAUACUCAACCAGAGGUGUCAUUAUGGAUAACGUACAUAACGAUUGUUCAUUUGUCGCCAUGCAUUAAAAAGCGUUAAUAACGCGAAACAUUUCUCAAGAUAAGAUGUCAUUGUUUCAAAUAUUCGAUACACGAACUGGUAAACGUAUCCGCUCCGGAAAUGGAGGCGUUUUGAAGAUUACUCCUACUUCUUUAAAUCGAACUAUAUAUCCUUUCAUGCAAACUACUUGCGACGUAUACAAAUGAAAACGUAUUGAAACUGAAGGAAGUAACAGACGUUUUGCACUGAUAAUCAGAAACUAUUAUAUGCAGCAACGUACGGUAACUCGGUUACGUUGAUUUGUACUUAUCUUUAACGAUGAUAUGGAUUACUCAUAAUAUAUGUACACAAGAUAUAAAAACUAUUUAAAAGCUUAACGAGCAGUAAAUUCACGUUGUCAGCACAACCGAGUCGUCACGUACGCUAGCGUAUAGAAAUUUCAAUCAACCACGUGUCCAUUUCAUAAACUGCUAAAACUUCAAAGAGUAAGAAAUAUUUUACACUACUCAUCAGAGAAUAACUAUGCUGACGAAUUACCAUGUAAUAUACGCUAUAAUGUACGAAAGUCUAAUUAUUUACACGUGUUGUUGUUACCAUGUUAAUCAAAUGCCACAAUGCAAGCUAUUGAAACAUGGAAAGAUAAUGAGAAACGUUUAAAGAUACGAUAAGUAAUAGACUUGCUACCCUGACGCACAGCAACUAUUGUAUACGCUAGUGUAGAAGAACUCGGUCAUUCAUACUCAGGGAUCGUUAUCAUGCUAGCGCGUCAAUGUUUCACAAUACGAUCCGAUGAGGCGUGUACGGACAAAGAGGAACGUUUAAAAACACGGCAAAAUGCACUGUAUCGUGUUCACCGAUAGAAUUAUUCAUGCUGGGUUGUUACGUUGAAACGAACGUUUCUUCUAAUUGCUAUAAAUUAUUCGACGUAACGAAGCUUCGUGAUUUCAACGGUGAUCUUUGGUGCUUUAAUAAUACAUCGAUAAAAUAAAUAAUUCAGCUGGAUUCUCAUCGCAGAAGACGAAGAAAUAAAAUUGAGAAACGUUUCGAGGAAGUUGGAAGGCAUAAAAUCCCGUUUCCGCUGAAAUUAUACUUCUUUCGUGUAUUGUUCCACUUCCUGGCGAAUUACCAUACCGUUUAUUAACAAACUUGGCCACCGUAGUUUAAGGAUCCUUGGUAGAAUCUCGAGGGCAGAAUAAAAACAUACGUUGCGAUGAUGAGUUAUGAAAAUAGAAUAAGAAGAAAGAAAUACAUGUAACUUCGAAAGCUUUAUAUUCAGAUAGAUAUUUAACUUUUCAGUUAAAAUUCUGAAAAUCUUUUUAGAUAUCACUUUUCAAUAAAAUAUAAACAUUCAUAUUUCAUACAUUGUCUUAUUUUCGGAAAUUGAAAAGUACCUCAUUUUUAAAACGCAUCACAUAUUGUCAUUUCAAAGAUAUUGUGCCGUUUAAUCAAUUUUAGAUUAAUAAGCGUCAAUAAACAUUUCCUUCGAAAAUAAUGUUCGUAAUUAAAAUGGAGUAUUUAACGAUUUUAAGAACUCGAAGAAGAUGAUCGUCGAUACCAUGAUAAAUAAUUCAACAACUGCGCACGAUUUCCGUCGAAGAAAUUUAGAAUCAUUUCGACGAAGCUAAGGACCGUAAAGCUUUACAGAAAUCAUAAUUCUUUUCCACGUUUACGCGAAAGAGUAAUAAACUAUUUAUUGGUGAAGCUUUCGAGUGAUUGCGUUUUAUUACGAGUUAACGCGGCAUUGUGUGUUUAACUACUUCGUCUAAACAAUCUUUCGUAUUACAGAAAAUAAUUAAGUGUAUCGUAACGAGAACUUUUGUUGAAAAAACAGAUCUUAAGAAAUUUUGAAAGUUAAGAUGUGUAUCCUUCCAAUUUUACUGAAGAGCUUCAGGAUUUUUAAUUAUAUAGCACUUCCAUGUAAAUUAUCUAUUCUUGAAAAUUAUAUUGAAUUGAUUACUCGUAAAUGAUAUUAUUGUAACAUACUACAACUCUGAAGCAGCAGAAUAAAAUGAUUUCAUCGGAAGAAGAUGAAAACAAUUUCUAAGAAUAAAGUAUAACAAUCCAAUCUGAGAAAAACAAAAAUCAUCGUUCUAUGUAAAUAGCACAGUGCUUGCCAAUAAAUUUCUCUUCUGAGUAUAAUAUUCGAGACUAUAAAUUAUCACGGUCUCCAUUAGGAAAACGAGAAGUCAUUCCGAAGAAAUUCGGAAACAGUAAAUCCUGCGAUCACUGAGGCAUCUUCGAGAAAACCGAUUAUCUUGGGAAUAACUGAGAAUAUUUCAUUUACUCAUUCUCACAUGACAAUUGUUCUUAUCUCAAAUGAGUAACCAAUUAAAGAUUUCGAAAGAUAAACUUCCAGUAAAAAAAGAAACGAAUUUAUUUAUCAAAUGGCUCACAUUAAGACAAUGAUUAAGAAUAACGAAAUUGCGUUUGAUGAUUUAUUUUUGAGAAAAUCGGCUUCCGAAACUUGUAUACACAUAUUUGACUAAUUUCUGACUGAAUGAAUAUAUUUUUCUUAUAACUUUUUAAUAAAGCAUUUGUAUUCCCUUAUUCUUGCACAUAAAGUAUGCUGUACAGUUGUCUAGAAAGAAAGCCUGAAAUAUAUGUAUUUCUUGGCAAAGAUCGAAACUGCACGUAAAUAAUGAAAUAUUCAUUAAACCAAGAAACUGUUCUUCCACGGCCAGUUAUAUCACUAAUUAUUGUACACAGCGUUACGUAUUUAAUUAAUUUAACGCGAGGAUAACGCGCAUCUCAUUAACGUUCACGGCAUCGAAAGUUAUGCACGACGUUGCACUUCUCUCUGAUAAGUUGCACGCUCAUUCUGAAUUUCAUAACUCGCGUAAGCUCGGGCACGGAUUAAUCGCGACUCGACAUUCGCGGAACCCACCACGAUCCAUGAAUUACUUAUCGCGAUCGCUCGAUCAGUACGAAACAUGUACAGUACAUGAGUAGAAACAUGUUCCGAACGAUUUCGAACUGUUUCAAGGUGAUAUCACAUUUGCCCUAUAUUCGAAUUUCUGGGUUAACAGGUACUCAUAGGAUCGUUACCAAUUCGUCGUAUCUUGGCACGAUUGUCGUGAAUUAAAUGUAUCAGCAAAUGAUGUCGAAAUCGUGUUUCCUUUUUAACUCAUUAACAUUAGAGCUAUCAAACUGGUCGAAAUGACUGGUAUUAGGUUUCUUGUUUUCGCAAUUACUAAAAACAUGCAAGUAUUUUUUAUAAUAUCGAUGUUUACUGUAACAUACUAGUAAGAAUAUAAUCUAUUAAUCUAGUAAUAAUAGUAUUGUAAUUGAUCACAGUCGUUGGAAGCUGUUUGUAUAAAGAUAAUUUUGCAAUAAUUUGUUUUACUACUCUUAAUCACCUGGUAUUAUGAAGCGUAUAUGUGCAAGUUAAAUUUCAUUUAAAUUGGUAUUUAUCACAAUCAUUUUUGUUUGCUUAUCGUUUAAUGUUAUUAUAUCAUUACUGUCGUUAUUGUGCCUUUAUUACAUAUUUACUUC